CAUAUUUUCCCCCUAAUAGUGACCUCUAAUUGUGUAUGACCACCUUUAGUCAGUGACUCUCUCUUGACAUGAGUAAGUGAGUGCUUCAGAACAGAUCCCUGCAGCUUUCACUGUGAGCAGAAAAACCUCUGUACCUAUGUGUCUCUCAAAAACUCACUAACAGCUGCUAACACUGGGGGUGGGGUACGGCAGGGCCCUGAGACAGUAAUCCCGGUGGGCCUGACCCUGACAACAUAGCCUGCCACUAGAAAUGUAAAGUCAAAUGUGGUAAUAACUAAACUGGUAUGCAAGAAUAUGAUAGAAAAAAUGUUAUUUCAGCAUCCUCCCUGCUAGUGCAGGAAUAUGUGGAAGUGCCACAACAGGAUCAAACUUUUUGUUUUAUAUGUGACAAUUGGUACUAAAGUUACACUUCCUAGGCUAAAUGCAGAACCCCCUGUACCCCCUCAGUGGGGGCCCCCGUUACUGCCUUAGAGAUCUCUGUAUGUCUCUAGCCAUUUGCUAAACUACCCAGCUGUCCCCGUGAUAACUAGUAGCUGAGCUGUAGUUCAGUUACAAACAGAGAUCUAAGCAGGGCCAUCAUUAAAUGGGGACAGGGGGGGUCCAGUCAGGGGUCCCAGGAGAUCUAAUGGGGGACCUGGUUCUAAAGCUGCUGUUUAUAGUUUAUUAGUGUUGUUUCAGAAUGUGCAAGUUUGAUUUGUAUGCGAUUGGCUGUCAGUUACUGGGAUAUCAUGCCUUAUCUCUGUGACAUUACUCCCAGCUCAGCUCUGAUUGGCUGAAAGCUGCAAGGAAGGUGAUAUAACGGCUCAGGUACAGAUGACCACUAUUUCAUUUCUGGAUUCAGAGGUAAGUGCAGCAGAUCCAUACACAGGGAACAGGGGGGCAUAUUUAGAAGAUACAAAGGGCAAUUUUGGGUGUUUUGUCACCCAUCAUUUAUAGUAGCUUGGGUAGUGGGGCCAUCGCUCCCAAAAUUUAAUUUAAUCUAAUUGGGGAGCUGCUUGUCAUGAAGCUGUUCCAAAUGGCAUCUGUGUGACAAGUAGGAAUGGGGGGGGUAAUUUAAGGCAACUUGGCAUUACAUUCCUGCAAUAAAUACACUAUGAUUGUAUAAGAUACAUUGUGCUCUCUGGGUAUUCUUAACAUGUUAAAUUUCUGCAAUUGUACAUGGGAACUGCAGCACUGAAUAUAUAUUCAAAUAAACUCAGUAUUAAUUGGAUACAGAUACCUAGAUAUUACACUUAUACAGAGUAUCACCAGAAAAUGGGUUUCUGAUGGCAGCCCUGACCCCCAAUCAACUAACAUGUGGGUGUCAAAGUGCCUAAAAUCUCCCCAUAUGCCAUCUCUAAUGGGAGUGAGACCAUAAAAACAUAUAGUUCUAAGGCAAUGGGUGUUUGGUUUACUUGUUGUUGCAUUUGAAGCAUUAGACAAUUUUUUCUGCCUCUGCUGUAAAUGGCAACGGUCAUUUGCCAACUGUCAUUUUCCAACGGUCGCACUCAUCCUAGCAACAGUCAGUGGCCUCAACACUAGAGUGGGUGACAGUUCAGAGAGGCUUAAGUAGAAAUACAAGUAGCACAAAUCAGAAGAAUAAAUGUCUGUAGUGCUGUUACAAGCCCACCCUGAUCAUGACAUUAUAAGCAAUACAAAUACCUCUUAUGGCCACCCUUAUUUUGCAUCAUGGGAGAUGAUGAAGGCCUUCCGACAUGCCAGUGAUAAAGAGCUGACUGCCAUUUAGGGCAUCUGGGGCUCUAGAAGUGUCAGGGUCCAAAUCCCCCAUUAUGCUCCUGCUCACAAUCUCUUAUUAUUUCUCCCCAAAAAGUGAAAUAUUCAGAGCGAUUUGUGAGAGACAGAUUUGAGAGAGAAAGCGAUUGUGAGAGAGACAGCAAAAGAAGAAGAGAGAGAGAGAAGCAAAGAGAAGAUAGAAGACAAAGAAGACCUUGAGUGACCCCCUGCCAGAGAUUAAUAACAUCUUCUCAUUUGGGAUCCUCUGGACAAAGGCUUGUCUUCAAGCACGGACCACCUUUACAUAAAAGGCUAUCGCCAGGGCUCACAGUGGAUCUACAGGAAGGAGGAGAUGAUCUGUAAGAUCACUGAUUUGGAGAGCAUGAGGAAGGACAUCAUUGGCGAAAUAAAAUGGACAAGCUAUGAUUAUUGUAUAGCUAGAGACAGCCUGGAAUUAACAAGGUGGUGGAAAAUCAGAUUAUGGCUGAGGUCCUGCAGGACAACAUGAAGGCCAAAAAGCCCAACUGAAAUCCCUCUACAAACAACUAGAGGAGAUAAACUGGGCAAUUUUCAGGAAGUACAUUGAAACAUAUCCAGAGAGCCCACCAGCCACCAGCACCAUCACAGUUUACAUGGUACCACAUAUUGAUGCACCUCUGUGUAGGUGAUCUUCAUGACACAGAGGUGAGUGAGCCAUUCUCAAUUCCACCAGCGGUGCCUCCACUACAAUACACCAUGAUUCCACCAGUGGUGCUCCUCCCUUACACCUAAAAUAUGGUUCCAUAGACAGGAGAACCAUUAGGCCACUUGGUAGACCCUGCAUUCCUUUUCAAUCCAUCCCUCAAACUGCAGAAGCCGGGUCUGCAGGCUGCCUGGGGUCCAAUGGAAUGACGAGGAAUGCAGGGUUCACUUUGUAGCGUAAUGGUGCUCAUAUAUAUUCAGCCAUAUUCCCUUCUACUUUAGUUCCCUCCACCGCAAUUCCAACCACAGUGUCCCCAAUUAUUUCUACCGUAAUUCCACCAGUGGUGCCACACUAACACCUAAAAUAUGGUUCCAUAGACAAGAGCACCCUCAAGCCACUCAGUAGACCCUGCAUUCCUUUUCACUCCAUCCUUCAAACUGCAGAAGCCGGGUUUGCAGGCUGUCUGGGGUCCAACAGAAUGAAGAGGAAAGCAGUGUUCACCUAGCAGCUUAAAGGCACUCCCAUGUAUAUGUAGCCAUAUUCACCUCUGUUUCAAUUCCCUCUACCGUAAUUUCACCAGCGUUGCCCCCUUACACCUAAAAUAUGGUUUCAUAAACAAGAGCACCCUUAAGCCACUCAGUAGACCCUGCAUUCCUUUCCAUUCCAUCCCUCAAGUCUGCUGAUGCUGGGGUCCA